UACGUAGGGUCCGAGCGUUGUCCGGAAUUACUGGGCGUAAAGCGCGCGCAGGCGGCCCGCGAGGUGUCACGUGAAAGCCCCGGGCUCAACCCGGGAACUGCGUCCGAUACUGGGAGGCUUGAAUCCGGGAGAGGGAUGUGGAAUUCCAGGUGUAGCGGUGAAAUGCGUAGAUAUCUGGAGGAACACCGGUGGCGAAGGCGGCAUCCUGGACCGGUAUUGACGCUGAGGCGCGAAAGCCAGGGGAGCAAACGGG
rnacentral:rRNA from 1 species